AUAUUGGACAAUGGGGGCAACCCUGAUCCAGCCAUGCCGCGUGUGUGAAGAAGGUCUUCGUAUUGUAAAGCACUUUAAGUUGGGAGGAAGGGCUUUAGGCUAAUACCCUGAAUUUUUGACGUUACCAACAGAAUACGCACCGUCUAACCAUGUCCCAGCUGCCGCGGUAAUACAGAGGGUGCAAGCGUAAAUCGGAAUUACUGGGCGUAAAGCGCGCGUAGGUGGUUCAGUAAGAUGGGUGUGAAAUCCCCGGGCUUAACCUGGGAAAUGCUUUCAUAACUGCUGAGCUAGAGUACGGUAGAGGGUAGUGGAAUUUCCUGUGUAGCGGUGAAAUGCGUAGAUAUAGGAAGGAACAUCAGUGGCGAAGGCGACUACCUGGACUGAUACUGACACUGAGGUGCGAAAGCGUGGGGAGCAAACAGG
rnacentral:rRNA from 1 species